rnacentral:rRNA from 1 species
GUAAACGAUGAGUACUAAGUGUUGGAUGUCAAAGUUCAGUGCUGCAGUUAACGCAAUAAGUACUCCGCCUGAGUAGUACGUUCGCAAGAAUGAAACUCAAAGGAAUUGACGGGGGCCCGCACAAGCGGUGGAGCAUGUGGUUUAAUUCGAAGCAACGCGAAGAACCUUACCAGGUCUUGACAUACUCAUAAAGGCUCCAGAGAUGGACAGAUAGCUAUAUGAGAUACAGGUGGUGCAUGGUUGUCGUCAGCUCGUGUCGUGAGAUGUUGGGUUAAGUCCCGCAACGAGCGCAACCCUUAUCGUUAGUUACCAUCAUUAAGUUGGGGACUCUAGCGAGACUGCCAGUGACAAGCUGGAGGAAGGCGGGGAUGACGUCAAAUCAUCAUGCCCCUUAUGACCUGGGCUACACACGUGCUACAAUGGAUGGUGCAGAGGGAAGCGAAGCCGCGAGGUGAAGCAAAACCCAUAAAACCAUUCUCAGUUCGGAU